GACGAACGCUGGCGGCGUGCUUAACACAUGCAAGUCGAACGGAAAGGCCCUGCUUUUGUGGGGUGCUCGAGUGGCGAACGGGUGAGUAACACGUGAGUAACCUGCCCCUGACUUUGGGAUAACUUCAGGAAACUGGGGCUAAUACCGGAUAGGAGAUCCUGCUGCAUGGUGGGGGAUGGAAAGUUUCGGCGGUUGGGGAUGGACUCGCGGCUUAUCAGCUUGUUGGUGGGGUAGUGGCUGACCAAGGCUUUGACGGGUAGCCGGCCUGAGAGGGUGACCGGCGACAUUGGGACUGAGAGACGGCCCAGACUCCUACGGGAGGCAGCAGUGGGGAAUAUUGCACAAUGGGCGGAAGCCUGAUGCAGCAACGCCGCGUGCGGGAUGACGGCCUUCGGGUUGUAAACCGCUUUCGCCUGUGACGAAGCGUGAGUGACGGUAAUGGGUAAAGAAGCACCGGCUAACUACGUG
rnacentral:rRNA from 1 species